rnacentral:rRNA from 1 species
UACGUAGGGGGCAAGCGUUGUCCGGAAUCAUUGGGCGUAAAGAGCGCGUAGGCGGCCCAGUAAGUCCGCUCUGAAAGUCAGGGGCUCAACCCCUGAAUGCGGGUGGAUACUGCUGGGCUAGAGUCCGGAAGAGGCGAGUGGAAUUCCUGGUGUAGCGGCGAAAUGCGCAGAUAUCAGGAGGAACACCGAUGGCGAAGGCAGCUCGCUGGGACGGUACUGACGCUGAGGCGCGAAAGCGUGGGGAGCAAACAGG